UCCCAGGGACAGAAACCCUAGCCCAUUUCCCCCAAUCCCCACGCGAGCUUGGUCCUGGCCAAUGGCGGCGCCAGACCCCAAUCACCUCGCACGCUUCGUCCUCCCCAAUCCCCCUCCUUCCGCUCCACCAAUCGCUCAUGCUCUCCUCCCUCUUUGCGUCGGCAGCUCCGUGCUCUCUCCUACCACUCCAUGGCACAGCGUCCCCGUCCUUGUUCGUUGGUAUGCGGGAGGCGGAGGGACGGAGAAGGCAGGCAGUGCUCGUCCCUUGGCAACCAGAGCUGGUUGCGGAUGGAGGUGCAGCGGUGGGGCGGAGACCAGGAGCAGGCCUCAAGAGCAGCGCAGCCCACGACCAUGCGCCGUGCCCUCGCCAAUAGGACUGGUUGUUGGCCGACGGGAGAGCACAUCACGCUGCUCACCCCACUCUGCUUCUUCCUCAUCUCCUUGCUCAACGGGAGGAAAACGAGCAGCCGCCAAACCCCUACCAGAGUGAGACGAGUGAGGGAGAUGGAAAAGGAAAAAACAAAGGGUCAGGGAGAUGGAAGAGGAUGCAAGAAAGAACUCAGAUCUAAUCCAACAAGAGAAGCAUGGCCACUGCACCUUGUGAGUUCUUGUUCGGGUGAUUGGCUGCUGAUAGUGAGGGAGAUUGGAAGGGGAAGAAGAAUUGAGUAUGUUACAAGGCCUUCUAAUUUCCAGAAAUUCUAUCCGUUUGCAUUCCGUUAUUUCCCCACAGUGUUCUAGGUACAAGAAACGAUUAAGAAAGAUGUAGAAGAGGAUGCAGAGCAAGGGAGAGUAAGGCACACAUUUUUUGUACCUAAUGACACUGGCGCUUUCUUCUACCUGAUGACAGUGAUGCUUUUGAUAUUUGUAUUGAGCAGAGGUGAAGAGGUCCUUGCAUUUAAUAAAGAUUCAGGUUUCUUCUUGCCUCUCCUAGUGAUGCCAGAGACAACAGUUCCGUACAUAAAUUAAUUUGUGCAUGUCAGAUUCUUUUGUUUAUACCUACAUGAUUGGGUUUGAUGGUUUGCUCUUUGCGGUGACUCCAAGUACACAAAAGCUCUUGGCGGUGACUCCAAGCACACAAUUGGAAAAUUGCAGGACUGGACUGGCUCAAAUAUUUUGGACACUGAAUAUUUUCCACUACAGAAAAUUCAGACAGUUAAGAUGCUCAUAUUAUAGCUACAAGAGAUGUAAAACACAUUGGCCUUGACCUGGAGCUUCUAGAGGGUUCCUGGUAAAUUGAACGACACAUCCAUGAUUUACUGGGAACCCUCUAGAAGACGUGGAUGUGUCAUUUAGGAUGCUUCGUUGCUCGUGGGAGUGUAAUACGCUUCAGAGUCUUGAUGAGGUAAUAACACGACUCUAAACUUGUGUAUGGAUGCAGCAUCAUGAGCUUACUGCUCGAGCACAGCCAUGGAUUGCGCCUUCAUCUGCGGCUCUGCGUUUGUGGCAUGGCUCAACGCCCACUCCUCCACUAAAGAUGCAGUGGGAAGUACAACAAUGCAAUAUUGUGUACACGGAGAAAGAGCAUCCGUCCUUGAUGGCAAAGAACUCAUGGUAUGUGCUUUAUUUUUACUAUUGUUCUGUUAAUAAUAGAACUCUAGAUUUAUCUCAAUUUAAAAUUAUCCAGCCUAGCUAGGGCCUCAAGUAACAACCUUUAGAUAUAGGAUUUUCACUUUUUUGUUUGUUUGUUAGGAUUAACAGGUCUAUGUUUUUAUAGGAAUAGGAACAUGAUUAGUUAAGGAUAAAGAAUCCUAGGAAUUGUACAGGCUGAAUUUGUAUUGCAGGUUGGAUCUGAAAAAAUAGUUCCUUUAAGAGGGUGAUAAUGGUUUCUGCAUCCUUAUUAUGCUUCAUGUCCUUCGUAUGAAAAAGAUACGGUCUCUGCCUUGCAUCAUCAUUUUUCUCAGAGUUUACGUAUUCGCUAUCCUUCAUUAAGGUGUUUUGAAUCAAUAGAAAUGGUGGACCCUAUGUCCUUUGUCCUCCUUGAUGCCAACCCCCAGUGGUGUAUUUUUUAUGUCUAAGAUUUCUAUAUGGUUAUUUUCUUGUUCAUAGGUAUGCUCACACGUCCCCUUUUUAUUUCUACUUUACCAUUGGGAUUAUCUACUCAUAGGUCCCCUCUUUAUUUCUACUUUACCCUUGCGAUUAUCUACAAGGACUAAGAAGUGAUGAUUUCUUGCCUUAUGACUAAUGAUAUGUAUCUAGGGUGCAGUUCAAGUGUCAGAAAGCUGAGGUGAGGUCUAAAUUAUUCAUAACCUCUGUAUUUAUAGCUACUUGUUUAUUAUUCAUGAUCAUUAAAUUAAAUUGGCCAACUUUUCUUUUAUUAAAUGUUAAGCAAGGUCCUAGAAAUGCGAUUUUGUAAUCAGGCUGUGAAGAAACUGAAAUGUGCUGCUUGAUGUUCUUUUUGUUCUUUGAUGCAAUAUAUAUGCUACUGCUGUUAUGUCAAGUUAGCCACAUCUAAGUGAUGUAUAUGUCAGUGUUUCUCUGGAUCAUAUAAUAUGUAGGUAGUUUUCUUUAGUCUUAUUUGUGCUUUGCACCUUUGUAAGUAUAUUGUACAGUAAAUGAUUUUUUUCUGUAUUCAGAUUUCUUAUUCUGCACUACAGUGAGUAUAGACUAAUUCUGCUUACGUAUAAACUUUUUAGAAAACUGAUUCUUCUACUUUGGACACUAUACUGCCUAAUCGUCUAAUCUGCAUUGCAGGUACAAGGUUGAGCCGAGAGAAUUUGAUUCAAUUAUAUUUGCAGACGUUUGACUGUAGAUAUUUAGUUUUCUACCUCCUACAACAGUCAAUGAAGUGCAGAGAUGCUUUUGCGAAUUAGACUCAACUACUGCUAUAUCAUGUUAGGCUCUGUGUUGUCAGUUUGUCACUCUGUAUUGUUGCAAUCAAUGUCCUGAAUGGCACCCUAAGUCUUGCGCACCUUUAUGUUACAUCUGAUGGCUGUGACCGGCUCACUUAGUAAUAAGCCAUGACCUCUAUGUGCUAAAUUUCUGCUUUCUUUUGGUGGUUUUGAUUUAGUUAUAUGAGCGCAUACAGAAAAUCUCAAUGGAUUGAUUUCCUGCUUCAGAAGAAAUUAACUGUUUGACUUAGUUAUAUGAGAGCAUACAGAAAAUCUCAAUGGAUUGCACUGCCUGCUUUUGUGAAUUUGAAGUUUGAAAGUUUGAAUUACUCAGACCACAAAUUCCAGAAAAUUGGAAUGGCCCUUCUGGUUGCUCCUUGAUGAUGCAGGCCUGACUUUAUGAAGACAAUCGCGUCUGGAAGAAUAGUUGUCCUGGCUUGAAGACCCGCAAAAGGAUAGAUUGAUUGUACCAUUGUCAAUCAGGAGAUUUUGCCCGUGUCUGUCAUUCUUCAACAGUCAAAGUUUUCUGAUGCAUAAAUAAAUUUGGAUUGAGAAACUGGUAAUCCCAUGUAAACCUAUCAUGGGAUGAUUCAUGUAUAUAUUUAGAAAUUGCAUACUAGAGGAAGGCUGCAGGGGGGUGUAUUUUGGCACGACUUUCUUGCCAAUACGGCUAGGGUAAAUUCUACAGGGAGACAUAGGAGGAAAUGUGUGCUAGAAAAUUGUGUCAGAGAUAAAAACGUUCUCCAUCAAAUUGGAAACAUCAUAGUUAUUUUCUUUUACUCAGAAAUAAGAAUUUUGAGUUAACUGAUAUAA